UUUGAGCAUAUCAGAAUCUCUACUCAUUUUGCUCUCUCUCUCUCUAAAAGCUCUUUCUAGUUUUACAGAACAAGAUCAUUCAACAAAGCUGUUACAAGAAAAGAAAAGAAGAAAACAAGACAUCAUCCACGGAAGAUGAUUUUUGAGCUUUGGUUUCAGACAGAAGCAGUAUCAGGCAUGUCCUCUUCUCAUCUCUUUGUUAUGUUUUCUUUGUACUUCUUAUUUUUAGAACUAGCUCUUGUUUUGUAACUAGAAGCUAUAACCUUCAUACAUGGCUUUCAUAUAUUACAACAACAUGGUGAAGAUUCAUGAAACAUAGAAUGUUUAAUCAAAGACCAAGAAUUUCUACUGCAUUAAAUUGUGUUGUUUUCUUAGUGGUUAUUCUUAUUCAAUUAUCUUAAGCGCUUAAUCCUUUAUAGAUAGCAUAUAGAACUUGUAAAAAAUACAUGUAAAGUUUCAAUUGAGAUUUAUUAUGUCUUGUAUUUUACAUAUUACAUUUCGAUCAAGGUACUAAAUUACAACAAAUGUUCCUUGUGAAAUGAUUCCUCUACACAUGUAUAUAUCAACAGUUUUGUAUUAUUAUCAUCUCUUCCAUGUACAAGCAGUGGUCUCUCCUUCUCUAGCUUCUUUUUUGCAGUAAAAUUAUCUUUUAUGUUUUCAUCAGCUUGAUCAUUGGAGAACAGCAUAAUUGUCUGUACGAAAACUCUGUUUAGGAUAAGUCUAGUUGCUAACGUUCUACUAGUCAUAGUUAAAGCAGUGAGGAGCUUCUUACCAGUCUGACAAAUUGAAAUGUAUGAUAGGUGUGUUGUUGUUAUGUGAGACAAGGCCCAACUUUGACGGGUUUGACGACCCUGAAAGCUCUUCUUGCAUGCUCGAA
rnacentral:lncRNA from 1 species